rnacentral:lncRNA from 1 species
AUCAAACCCCCAGUCCCUCGCCAAGCCUUUCAGUGCGAAUCAUUGUAGUUUGUGACAACCAGGAGGCUACACGUGCACUGCUUUCACUGUGAACUAAGCUUACUGCACAUUUGGGGAAACUGACUGUGUUUUCUGCCUUCUAUUGACAGAAUGGCACACGAAACUUCCAGGACUUUGACUGUCAGGUAAGGACUGUACAAGCACCAGAGAAGCUCUGUACAGGAUCCCUACAGUGCCUCCCUCCCUGUGCUGCUGGUCGUAGAGAAGUGGAUCUUGUAUUGCUGUUGUUUGUAUUUUGUUUUGUUUUGUUUUGUUUUGUUCAAGCAGGGACUGUAGACCAGGCUGACCUUGGACUCAUGACAGUGCCUCCUGCUUCAACCUCCUGAGUUCUGGGCUUACAGGCGUUUUCUAGGAACCUGUCUAACACCUGUAGUUUACUUAGUUGGGCUGUGUCUUUGUGAUUGAGAUCUCUGUUCCUAGGAUGAUAUCAGAGACCUCAUUUGUCACAGUGGACAAAUGAAGGUUGUCACUAGACUCAGGUAAAACAAAUGGCCAGCAGUUUGCAGAAGAGACAUCUUAAUAGCAAAAUUGUUUCCUAAACCAAAGAUUAAAUUAUUAUUAAUACAAAAUGAAGAUUUUUCUUGGCUUUAUGUUUGGAAAUGCAAAUUUUAUCCUGGCUCAGUAUUUUCCCACAUGGUACUGUUCUUUAUAAUCUACUGUUGCCAAUUAGAAAAUCAGUAAAAUGAGCCAGCCAUUCUCCACCCACCUACUUUAUCUGCUAACUAGCCCUGAAAGAAGUCUAAGAAAGGAACACACAGGUAGAUAGGGAGCCUUACAGCCCCCACAGCCUGACUCUCUCACCCUGGGAUGGGUGCCAGAGCUACAACAUGAAGUUGACUUAAAGGGUACUGGCAGGAAGGACAGCUCUUCAAACUGUACACCUUGUCGCCAGUGUUCAGCCUUUUUGCAUGUCCAUCAGGAAACAAUUGCUUCCAGUAUGCACUUCAUGUUAAGUACAGUCUUUAUAGCAUUAGCAUCAAGGGCAAAUCCAGUCUAUUCAAUCUUUGUGUAGAGAAAUUAAAACAAAACAGAACCAAAAACCCUUUUGUAUUGGCAAACCAGUUCCAUCACAAUUAUUGGUCCCCUAUGACAGAUUAUCUUUUGGAUAUGAUCUUUGAAAUGUAUGUUUUAGAGAAGCAAAGCAACAUUGUAGGUUUUCAUUGUUCUUAAUAUCUGAGUGAGGACACGGAAUGAUUGGGACAGAGAAACUGACUCCUCCUGAAUCCAUUACUUAUUUCUUCCUGGAUAAAUCUAGAACUAGCAUUUAAGUACUCCACUGUCCUUAAAGCUGAGGUUGGUUGGCAGGUUAGAUGAGGCUUGCUAUGCAUGAGCAGGCUGGUCUGUUGUCCUUGUGUCCCAGUUCCAGCUGGUUCUUUAUGACAGAAUCAGCCCACUGUGCUUGGCAGUCAUUCACUCAGAUUUAAAGUCUUCAGAACUGUUGAUACUCUGUGACAGUGGGACAGUCAAGAUUGAGUUUAGUUGUUUUUAAUUUAAUCUGACGUUAACUAUGGUUUGGGUCCUAGUAGGAUCAGUUGGAGUUGAUUGUUUUUGACAUAAUUUACCAAGAAGGAGAUCAUUGAGAUAGAGCGACAGGAGGACUCAUUGGAAGGCACGUUAGAAAUAGGACGCAUUUGCACUCCUCUCUGAAAGCUCUUGCUUUCAUCAGUUACCAAGACGUUAGUAAAUUUAAACCAUCUAUUUUUUUCUGCUUUACUGUGUGAGUGUGUGUGCAUGUGUGCUUGCUUGCUUGGGUGUGUGUCCAGGGACUUGCUCAUGCUAGGCAAGUAUUCCUUUUUCAUAUCUAAGUAUAGUCUUAAGUGAAGUUAAAUUUAAUAUUAAGGCUUAAAAUUAUUCUAAUAAGGGCCAGUAAAAGGGCCCAGCGGAUAAAUCGACUUACAAUGUAAGCCUUGUAACCCGAGGUCAGUCCCUGGAACCUGCAUAAGAUACAGGAAAAGAGCAACUCCAUAAAUCUGCCCUCUGACCUUCACAUGCGUGCUGUGGUGUUCACACAGGAGUGCAAGGUGCACACAGUAAUACUCGAGCAAGGGACCAGUGGGAGGUUCCAGAGGGUAAAAGCUGACUGCAUAAGCCUGAUAACCUGAGCUCAAUCUCAAAAAGCCACAUGGAGGGACUAGAGAGAUGGCUCAGCGGUUAAGCCAGCAACCACAUGGUAGUUCACAGUCAUCUGUAAUGGGAUCUGCCCUCUUCUGGUCCGUCUAAAGACAGCUACAACGUGCUCAUAUAAAUUUAAAAAGAAAAAAGAAAAAAGCCUCAAGCAGUCAGCUCAGCAGAUAAAGGUGCUUGCUGCCAAAGCUGACAACCUGAGUUUGAUUCCCAGAACUCACAGGAGAGCAGGAGAGACCAAACUCUCACAGGUUGUCUUCUAACUUCGAUGGCAUGUCCAUUUUACUCCAGUAAAUAAAUAGAAGUUUUAGAUAGAAAGCCUAGAUGCAGUGGUAUGUGUCUAUGAUCCCAUCACUCCUAUAGUGAGAUAGGAGGCAGAGAUGGGAGACUCUCCUGGAAGCCCACAGUCUAGUUAGCCUCGAGUAUACAGUAUGGCAAAAACAAGAAAAAACAUGCUUCAGCAAGGUGGAAGGAGCGAAUCAACUCCUUAGUGUCUGUCCUUUGAUUUCCACAAGUACACGAUGGAGUGCACACAUCCAACAAUAAUAGCAAUAACUACUACUACUAUUGUUGUUAUAAAUUGGAGCUAUGAUGUAAUACAGUGAGAGCUCUCCCCAGCCCUGAACGUCAACAACAAAAAACUAUUCCAGCUUUUCUUUCCAUUAUGAAGUCCUGUGCUGUUAUGCUAAGGUGUGCCUGUCUUUGGAACCUUCAUAUGACAUACUUUCUUUUGGAAUGUAUCAGAUUAAACCUAAUUUUCACCAGUGUAGAUAUACAGUGGUUUUUGAUUUCUUUCCUUCUAGUGCUGCUAAAAAUAAUUCACCUUGCGUU